rnacentral:lncRNA from 1 species
UUUUCUUUUAAGAAUGAGACAGGGAGUUGAGUGGGUGACAAGUUAUUUUCUUUCUAAUGCUUAUGGGCUGUGACUAGAGCCUGCAAUGGAUGAGGACGGAGAGGACCAAAUUAGCUCAGAUUCUAUAUAGUUUACAGAACAGGCUGCUUUUAUUUGUUUUUAGAUAUGAGCCAAAAAAAUUAGAGGGAGGGGCAAAAAUAUCAAUGAAAAUAAUCCAUAGUUCUGAAGUGGAGAGAGUUUCUCAAUGUUUCCGAGUCAAAAUUACACUACAGCCCAGACAGCUUUCAAUUCACAAUCUCUUCGUUGAAUGACAGGAGAGAAGGAUAGGAGGAUAGGAGGAGAGAGCUGCUCAAAGGCUGCAGGUCCUGCAGAGUUGGCUCAAGUCUCCAGGCUCCCAGCCUCCUCUGUCUCCAACCAAGUCCAGGGAAGAUGGGCUGGUCCAGAAAUGCUGGAAUGUGAGAGCUGC